GAAGGAAACAACAGCUUGGGUUAAGUGAUGACUUUAUAUGUGAGGAGAUAGAGGAUAAUGAGGUUGAUGAGGAUGACCCCACUUGGGAUGGCUCUCAUUACCAUGCCAGGGUGAAUUUACCCACCAGAUUGCAUAAAAAGAGAAAACUUUCUGAUAAUCUUAUUACAAACACAGUGGGGUCAUCUGAUGAAACAAGUCUCGAAAGAAAGCAAAAGCACCUGUGGAUGAAGUAAGCCUUUCCCAAAACAAAACUGCUGAUUUGAGGAAGCUUUCUGUGCAGGACAGGCUUUCAGAUGUGAGCAACUUACCAAGAAGAAGAGGUAGACCUCCCAAAAGAAAGUCUGUGCUGGAGGUGAAUGAUGAGGGUAAUAUAUCAAAGAAAAGAUGUAGAUUGCCCAAACAAAAGUCAGUGCAGAAGGUGAGCGUUGAGGGUGAUACAUCAAGGAAGAGAGGUAGACAGCCCAAAGCAAAAGUGGCGGGAGAGAGUCAAGAAAAUCUGAGACAGAACAACCCAAGGAAUGAACCCAAACGGAGAGGCAGGCCGCCCAAGAAGAAUAAAACAUUGGUUCUGAACCCCACCAAGGACGGAACCUCAAACAAAAGGUUAUCUGA